AGUACAAAACAUGUAUUUAGGGUGGAGACGAGGAACGGGGGAACGACCCUGAGGAUGAUUGGAAGAAUUUCAUAAGCUGAGAAAUUUGUUGUUGCAUUUCCAACUGCCUAGUCUCCAUUUCUGCUUCUUUUCGUCGUCGCUCCUGCACCUCAGCCUCCAUUUCUGCUUCUUUUCGUCGUCGCUCCUGCACCUCAGCCUGUAGAGUAGCUUGUAGAGUAGCCUCUCUCUGUUGUGUCUGCUCUAACUCUGUCUGGAGCUGUGCAAUCUGAGCUGAGACUGCUGCUGAAGGAAAUUGAGACGAGCACGUCGAAUGAGUGCUCGUCGAACCAGUGGAACGCAUCUGAGACAUAAUGCCCAAUCCGAGUCUACGCCCCUUCGGAUCUGGCGUCACCACCUCCCUAUAGAUCUGACUGACCUCAUCUGGAGUGACAUCUCGUCCAAGAGUAGAGCGUAACUCCUCGACUCGACUAUGUAUCUCAAGCUACAUUUAGAUGCAUUACAAACAACUUAAAAUGUGAUAAAAUAGAAUUAAAUGCUUAGAAUAAUUAAAAUGUUCAUAUUACUUACACCCUGAGUCUGUGCCCGUCCAUCGAACUGUCCUUUCUUAAAGUGCAUCCUCAUGAAAGUAUCAUAAUGUGCAUCUGCGAUAGAAAUGUUCUUCUCUCGAGCCUGUAAUAAAGAAAGAUGAUUCAAAAUUAAAUUAUUGAAUUAUUGAAUUUUUUACAAAGAUAAAAACACGUUUGCAAUAACUUACCACAUGCUCAGCAUGACUAAUAGCACUGCGAGAGCCUCCAUAGUGGAUAGAUAAUCCUGUACCUGGACCAGCAGGCUCAGAUCGACGAUUCUUGCUCGCCUGCUGCGACUUAACUUGGAAUUCAGGUGUCGCCCAAUAUUCCUUCCACUUUGUAACAAUGUCUUUAUGAAGAAAUUGAGGUCUGCUCCCUUCAUCGAUAAUAACCUUACAUCCAUGGACAAAAUCUUUAUAAGCAUGCCUAGCUUGUGAGAUCCAUGUCUUACGAAUGACGUCCGAGCUGUAAACUUCCCCAUCCCAUGUAAAAGAUUUCUACAACAUUUGAAUUUGAAGUUAGUAUAAAUUUAAUGAUAUCUAAACUAAAUAAUUACUAUAAUAUACCUUAAACUCAUCAUAAUAUAUGUCUAUGGUGCUGGGCGACAAACUCUUCCAAUUGACGCCUUCAGGAUCUAUGAAGCCUUGAAAGCUUGAAGUAGUUGUACGUCGAAUCUUCUCAGUCGGCCUCAAAAUGCUGAAUUAUAAAGUAUUGAAUUCAAUAUUAGUAACUCAAAUUAAAUAUAUCAUAACAUUUUACUUAAUUCGACAAACAUAUAUACAUACCCAUUUUCCAACCAACAGAUCCGCCUACCGUCAGUAGCUAAUUCUGGACGGACUGCCGACGCCUGCGUCUCAGAAACGUGUGUCUCAGUAGCACGGGUCUCAGUAGCACGAGACUCAGUCGAGUCUGAGUCGGUGGGAUGCGAAGCAGAACUACUCAUCUUCUAUCUAAAAAUGGUAUAUGAUAGUGAUAUGUGAUAGCGAUAUAAUAAUUAAUAAUUAUUAUGAUCAUAAAAAAAUAGAGAGAAAAUGAUUGCUUAGUAAAUGAAACAGACAAGUAACAUCAAAAUCAUCUAAAUCAUAUAUCAUCUUCAUCCCUUGAAACACACAAGUAAAUGAAACAGAUAAGUAAAUGAAACAGACAAGUAACAUCAAAAUCAUCUAAAUCAUAUAUCAUCUUCAUCCCUUGAAACAGACAAGUAAAUGAAACAGACAAAUAACAUGCAUUGUACCUUGAAAAUGAAACAGACAAGUAAAUGUUGACAAGAAAGACAAAAUAAUAACUAUUCUAUAUCAUCUAAAUCAUCGGCUUCAGAGGAUGAUGUUUCCAGAAUGCUUUCAUGAAUUGCAUCUUCAUCUCCAUCCUCAUCCUCUACCAUGUCUACCAAGCCACCAUCAGGAUGAACGGGAAUUGGAUCAUCAUCUAUUAUUGUAUGAUGAACUUGGGUAAACAACUCCUCUUGGAAAGGCAAAGAAGUUUCAUUGCUCGAAACUUCUACAAGCGAUCUUGCCUUCACUUUGCAAGCUGCCAACCAGUUUCGCCUAGUCACAUUUUUACUUGGGUAUGUGCAGUAAUAAACUUGAAUAGCUUGUGAUGCUAGGACAAAUGGUUCAUAUUUAUUGUAUAAAUGAGUUUGGUUGAUGGAAACCAACUUGAAUUCUCGAUCCACAAACGUCCAAGUUGGAGAAGGGUCAAACCAUUGACACUUGAACAAAGUGGUUUUUUUGGUUGGUAGCCCAGGAUACUCCAAAAUCACAACCUCCAACAAACGCCCAUAAUAAUCUUGUUGAACUCCACCUAACACCGACCCCUUUACACAAAUUCCACUGUUGUCAGUUUUGUUUCUCGACCCGUAUUCCACUGUCUGAAAUUUAAAUCCAUUGACAUAAAAACCUUGAUAACAUGUCACCCUUUGUAAUGGCCCCAACGACAAAUGACGCAAGUAUAUGUUGUCAAUUUCAUUGUUUGGAUCUCCAACCUAAUACAAGUAAAGUGUCAAUAAAAAGAAAAUUAACAUGUAAAUAAUUAUGUGAAACAUUUACUAAAAUUCUUACAUAUGAUUUGAACCAUUUGGCAAACUCGGUAUCAAACUUGAUCUGGAGCUGAUUGGCCGUGAUCCUUGGGAAUUUAUAUUUGAUUUCAUCAAAGAACAACCCAAUGUACGUGUUUGUAACCUCUGGGCAAUUGUUAAGGACAUACAAAUGUGCAGCAUCAUACUUGUCCAUAACAAUGCAGCUCGCAUCUGGAAAUUAUUUUUUGAUGAAAUAUCAUAUGUCUCUGCACCAACUUCCCAAAGAUGUGUUAGCUCAGCUAUGAGGGGUUGAAGGAAAACAUCAAUCAUCUCUUUGGGGUUAUGUGGUCCCGGAAUUACAGCUGUAAGGAACAUGUUUUGUUCUCUCAUACACAUCCAUGGCGGAAGGUUAUAAGGUGUGAUUAUGAUUGGCCACGAGGAGUAUUGCUGCCCAUAUUUGUUGAAUGGCUGAAAGCCAUCUGUGCAAAGGCCCAAUCUUACAUUUCUCACCUCUGCUGCAAAAUCGGGAAAUGUAGUGUUGAAAUGCUUCCACGCAAGUGAGUCAGCGGGAUGCCUCAUCACACCAUCAUCUUGUGACGUCCCAUGCCAACGCAUUUGGGCUGCAGUAGCAUUAGAUGCGUACAACCUUUGUAGCCUUGGAGUUAAUGGAAAAUAAUGCAUUUGACUGACUGCAAUCAUCCUUUGCCUUCGGCUUCCAUCCUUUGUCUGUUUGUACCGUUUUGCUUCACAAAACUUACAUUCAUCCAGAUUUUCGUCAACCCCCCAAAAGAGCAUGCAGUUGUUUCGGCAACAAUCAAUCUUCUCGACGGGUAAACCCAUCCCACGUAGAAGCUUCUUUGCACUAUAGAAAUUAUCCGUAACCAAGUUGUCUUCAGGUACUAUCUCCUUGAUCAACUCCAAAAUUUGAUCAAAACAAUGUUCUGAUAGGUGGUUCUCGGAUUUUAUGUUCAUCAACCUCGCCACAAGUGACAAUUGUGUGUGAUUCUUACAACCGGGCCAUAAUUCUCUAUCAGCAGCCUUCAACAUAUCGUAUAACAGUUGAGCAGCAGGAUUUGGGGGUUCAUCCACUACGCUUCUACUAAUAAAUUGUGCAUUUGCAACAUCCAUUAUCAUUGUCUCAUACCUAUUCUGCACACCAUCAAGUGGUCCAGGUGAUACAGUUCGUGAAGAAUUUAGGGGUUCACCGUGCAUAACCCAAUUCUCAUAUUUAGGAAUAAACCCAUUUUUUGCUAGAUGAACCCUCACAGUCAUAGGAUCAUCCCAUCUUUUGUUCUUGCAUUUAGUGCAGGGACACUUGAUCAUUGAUCCCUCCAUGAAUCUUGGUUGAGACAAUGCAUAAUGAACAAAGAUUUCAACACCCUCAACGAACUCCUGGGUAAGACUUCCGUUCGCAACACGUCUAUACAUCCACCCUCGAUCAAAACUCAUAUUUCCUAGUCAUCAAAAGUCUUUUAGAUAAUAGUAUUUGGUGUUUAUUAUGACACUUAAAAGCUUUCUAGAUAAUAUAACUUAAUGUUAUCUAUGAAUGCGUAUUUCCUCCAAAAAAAAAACAUGUAUUUCUGCCUCAAAAGAAACAUAAAUAAUGUAUAAAUCAAAUUAAAACAUUUCCUCAAAAGAGAGCAUAUAUUGAUGUGUUCAAAUAUAAAAACAUGCAUCUUUGCCUCUCCCCCACCGGCAAUUUCAAAUAAAUAGAUAUGCAUAUUUGCCUCUCCCCCACCGGCAAUUUCAAAUAAAUAAACAUGUAUUUUUGCCUCUCCCCCACCGGCAAUUUCAAAUAAAUAAACAUGUAUUUCUGCCUCUCCCCCACCGGCAAUUUCAAAUAAAUAAAACACUAACCUGGACACAAUGAUGUAAGAGCACAACGACGAUGGCACAACAGCUAGCAAUUGGCAAACGGGCACAGGACAAGACUAAAACAGAAAAAAUUAAAUCAAAACACAGAUAUUCCGACCAAAUAAGCAAAUACAACACAAACCAUUCUUGUAGAUAACAGUUCCCCUAGACCUCCAUUCUUAUAAUAUCUAUAAAGAGGAAGACAUGAUCAGGAACCAAUCGGAUUAAACUAUGUUCUAUUAGCUCACAUAGAGCACUGAUGUCCAGCCCAUGUUACAUUAUCACAAAAUAAUCAAGGGGUAUGCUGCAGUUCCCAUAGAAUAUGGCUUGUUGUCUUUUUGAUUUUAUGAUGUGGAAGUUGUGGUUAUAUAGAUAGAUAGCACAUAGAAUAUCCUAAUUUUAGGAGUUGAAGAGACUAAAUUAGCAGCCCCUAUACGGGACAAAAAACACUAAACCUACAAGCCUAUUUUAGUAUUAUUAUUGAAUUGCAUUACUUGAUUAUAGUUACUUCACACACUGUACAUCACAUUGUCAUUCAGCAGAUUUAGAUAUGGUUUUGACAUAUAUGGAAGUUAUUAGACUUGGGCUUUAUAUAUAUGAAGUGAGAAAAUCAGUACAUAGGUCUAAAAGAUUUCUGGAGUACCAGUGAAUAACUUGAAAGAAGCAGGCAACGAUCUUUUCUCUUUGGCCCAGAAAACACCAGAUUUCUUUGAGUGAUAAAGUCCAGGAUCAAUAAUUAUAGGCCUAGUUCUUUGGUAUCUGCAAAUAACAAACAAAGACCAAAUACAGUUGAAUUGGAAAGCCAUUUCAGCAAAUGUAAGGCCGAUGGAGACAAGUUAAGGGCAUAAGUCCAGUGCUCACUCUUUCCAACCAAAGUCACUAGUAUGCUCAAGGAAAUUCAGAUCCCUGCAGCAAAUUCAGAUCCAUUCAGCAGCUUCGGCUUGAGCAGAAGCCUUACCUUCUGUCCACCGUCUCAGUGCCUUGGCAACGGCUAAAACCAUAUUUAAUCAAAUUAGUAUCAACAUAUUGCUCCAAUAGUAGCAUAUAGAUAACAAAUGAUUAAUCUAAAGACUCACUUCUCAAAGCCUCAGAGAACUCAAUCAGAUUAUCUUCGAUUCCUUGGAGAGGAGGCUGUUGAAUAAGUUCCUCUAUAGAUUUUUCUGAGCUCAAAACCGAGGUAGAAUCUAGACAGCCAUACUCAGCAAACC
rnacentral:lncRNA from 1 species